AAGCACGGAGCUUAUUAAUAUCAGAAAAGUAGUUUUGCACUUAAUCUUCGUUUUAAUGUCAGAGAAUUUUUGAAGGAAAAAGCCACUAAAAUUAAAGUAAAAGUGAAAAGAAAACACCGUACUCAACAAUAUCUUUUGGGACUUUGGUAACAUUGUGUUACGAUCAAGCAAACAGAACAACGAGUUGAACAGCUGAUACUUCGUCGACACCGGCGAAAUGUCAAAGUCCAAGCAAAUUACUCUACGCGUGCAAUCUUCAGAGGGAACAAAGCGCAUAGAUGUAUAUCCAUCUGAUACAAUUUUCGAAUUAUUUGAAAAGGUUUUCGGUGCCUUUAACUUGAACAGUUUUGGAUUUGGGCUCUUUAGACAAUGGAAUCAUAAAGAUGAACUUAUAUCUUCUCGAAGUAGAACAGUUGCCGAAAUAGGUCUCUCUCAUGGAGAUAUGUUAUAUUUGGCACCUCUUAAUGGUGCACAGUUAUGGAGUGUUCCAUCGACAAGUAGUGCCUCCACUAAUGCAUCUCAAGAAUCUGAACCAACGGAUGUAGCAACAAUUGCCAAUCGUAACACCAAUGCCACUCGAUUCGUACCAAAUGUGGUCGAGGAUGAAGUUGACGAGCAAUUAUGGAAGCUUGAUGGUAAAAUACAAAGAAAACGUGAUGAGAAACUAUGUAGACAUGGCGGAAACGGAUGUUGCGUUCAUUGUUCUCCUCUAGAACCUUUUGACGAAAUUUAUCUUAAGGAACAGAAUAUAAAACACCUGUCUUUCCAUUCAUAUCUCAGGAAACUCACUGCUGGUGUUGAUAGAGGGAAGUUUAUACAAUUAGAUGAUAUAAGUUGUCGUAUAAAGACUGGUUGUAAAGAUCAUCCUCCUUGGCCACGAGGUAUCUGUAGCAAAUGCCAACCGAAUUCUAUUACUCUAAAUCGUCAAACUUAUCGGCACGUGGACAAUGUUAUGUUUGAAAAUCCAAGUUUAGUCGAACGCUUUCUCAAUUAUUGGCGUAAUACUGGUCACCAACGUAUCGGGUAUUUAUAUGGAAGAUAUGAAAUACACACGGAUGUACCAUUGGGUAUCAGAGCUGUUGUUGCAGCUAUUUACGAACCACCGCAAGAGAGUGAAAAAGAUACUAUACGACUUUUGCCAGAUGAAAAAGAAGCAUUGGUCGAUGAAUUGGCUCAUUUACUUAACUUAAAGAAAGUUGGAUGGAUUUUUACCGAUCUUAUAGUUGACGACGUGAAAAGAGGAACGGUAAAACACGUUCGAAACGUAGAAAGUCACUUUUUGUCUGCUCAAGAGUGCAUUAUGGCUGGCUAUUUUCAAAAUCAGUAUCCAAAUCCCUGUCGUUAUUCUCCUAAUAAUUAUUUUGGCUCAAAGUUUGUUACCGUCUGCGUUACCGGUGACGGUAAAAAUCAAGUUCACAUGGAAGGUUAUCAGGUAUCUAAUCAAUGCAUGGCAUUGGUACGAGAUGGCUGCUUGGUUCCUACAAAAGAUGCACCAGAAUUGGGAUAUGUUAUUGAAUCGACUGAUAAACAAUAUGUUCCAGAUGUCUUCUACAAGGAAAAAGACUCGUAUGGAAAUGAAGUGCCAAGGCUAGCAAGACCUUUGCCCGUAGAAUAUUUAUUGGUAGACAUACCUGCUUCUACACCACUUACUCCACAAUUUACUUUUUAUGUUAGCAAUAAUAUUACUUCCUUUCCAAUUGAAAAUAGACAUGUCGAUGGACAAGUUCAAGAAUUUAGUUCGCUUUGUUCUUAUAUGCAGCAAUUUCAUGUAGAUCAAUUCUUAGAAGCAACUUCAGAUUUUCAUUUCUUACUUUUUAUCGCAACAAUGGAAAUGUUACCGAUGAAGGAUCACAUGAUACCACUGUUAGAAGCAGUUCGUAAUAAAGACAAGGAAGCAGCAUUCAAAUGGUCAGGGUCUGAACAUUGGGGAACAGUACAACUUAUAUCUGCGACUACAGCCUCUACGGUACAGUCGCCACAGGCAUCGUUCAAUAGUAGCGUAAGAACGCCGUCUUCUUCAGCUGUAGGAGGUAGUGGAGUAGGAAUUGGUACAGAACCGACUGUGAAUCCACCUCCUGAUCAAACGCUUUGGACUUGUUCUUAUUGCACUUUUCUCAAUGCAGCAGAUUUUGCAAUGUGCGAAAUGUGUAGUUUGCCAAGGUAUAUGUAACAAACUGUCAAUAUUAAAUUGCUUCUGUAUGCAUUUAAGGGUGUUAUCCAUAAGUUGCUACUUUGCUUCCACACGAUUUUACGCAUACUGUGUCCUUGCAGAUGUAACGAUCAUUUUCCGCGCAUCUUUGGCCUUAUUUAGGAGUGAAAAAAACCAAAAUAAUAUUUUUCACCAAAGUAUAUAAUAUAUUCUCCAAUUUUCCACUCUAUUCCAAUCUUUUAAUAUGCAUUUAUUCAUAACUCGUGUGGAAAUGCAAAAUAAAUGAUAACAUUAAUUUCUCAUAGAAAAAAAAACUUGAAAUUCAACUUUAAAUGUUUGGAAAAGAUUAAUUAUCAUAGUUUCUAAGUUACCACCAAGUUUACAUUAGUUUGUGAAGAUAAAUCAAAGCAAAGUAGUUUAAACGAAUAAUAACUAAUGGGUUUGAUGCAAAAAAUUAUACUGUAAUUAUAAUUAUACACAAUUAUAGAACAUGAUUGGCAGAAAUUUAAAGCAUAACAUAUACUAUUUAUUUAAAAUAAACUGUAUUGAAUUUCCAGCAAGUUUAACAAUA